UGAAACUUCAGAAACCUUAAUUGUUAAUAUGAUCAGUUAAACUAAUCUUUCUUUAUAUGGCUAGCCUCCUUAAUUAGAAAUUUAGAAUUAUUUAAAACUGAUAUAAGGCAGUUGUUGAAUUAAUAAUAUAUAUAACACCAUUACAUACAUUAAUCAACACACACCGAUAGUCCAGAAUAAGUGGGAUAGAAUAGAAUGGAAUGAGCAGAAUCAUAGAAUAUUUCUGGGGAUGACAAUAUCACCGAUGGUGUUGUGCCAUGGAUCAGCAAGGUGUGUGCCUAGAUUCUCCAAGGGUCCAGUUCCUGGGUAAGCAGAUUGUUGAACGCAGAAGCCCACAAAGGCCAAAAGUGCAAGCCGACCUGCAAAAGACAAGCCCAUAAACAGUCCAAUAUCGGUCCAGUAGACUAUUAUUAUUAUUAUUAUUAUUAUUAUUAUUAUUAUUAUUAUUAUUAGAAGAAGAAAACGUACCGUUCUUGAGCUCCUUGACCUUGUUUUCGGCGAACUUGGUUGGGUCAUUUGAGAAACCCAAAGGAUCGAAAGCUCCACCUGGGUACUUUCUCUUCUCUGCAUCCUUCUCCAUGCUACGUUGCUGUUCCACGAAGGCUACUGCGAUGAACUCGAUGGCAAGGACUAUGGGGAGCGUUCCCCAUGGCACUGGGUUGCCCAAGUAGGUUGCUUGCCCACCUGGUAUGGCCGCCCAUUCCUGUGCUUGCACCCAGUUCCCUAGCCCCAAUGCUUCUGGCAACAAGAUCCCCGGCUUCAACAUCAUCCAUCCAUCCAUCCAUCCAUCAAUCACCAGUUAUUAAUUAUUCCAUCAAAUGUUUAUUGAAUCUGAUUAAUAAUAAAACAUUAAUUACCACGGCGAGCAUGGCCCAACGGCAGUGAAUGAGCUCAGAUUCCUUGAACCUCUCCAGAUUGGCAGGAACGGCUCCUAGUUCCAGAGG
rnacentral:lncRNA from 1 species